GGCUUCUGGGUCCCUGCUCCCGCUAGCCGCGACUGACACCUACGACUCGGGCAGGCGCCCGCGGGCUGGGCCGCUUCUCCGGGACUCCAGCCCGCUGUCCCUCGCCUCGAGUGCAGGCGCCCAGGAAAAGGGCCACGGUCCUGCGCGGGUGUGGGCUGCUCCGCCCUCGCGCCGUCGGUCUGUCCAUUUGUUGCAGGGUUUACUCUCGAGCGGCGCCGCGGAGGACUGGGACUGGUUAACUGUCUCCGUGAAGUGCGCCCCGUGCUCGAGGAGGAAGGGAAAUCGCUGAAGCGCUCCUGGAGCAAAGCCUAGACAAGCUUGCAAGUCCUACUUGUGAUGUUUUUUAAUUUUUCAUUUUAGAAAUUGAUUUUCUGGACUGGGAUGUAUUUCAGUAGUAGAUCACUACCUUGACAUGUGUGAAGCCUGGUUCUGAUCCUCAGCACUGCAAAUAACAAACAGGAAAAGAAAUAGAUUUUCUAUCCAAACUCUUCUCGCCUGCUGUAAUAAGCUUACAUCUUUUUGACAUUCCAGUAUUUCCCAAUAGGCCAUGAAAAAGUAAACAGAUCAAAUGAAGAUGAAAUACCCCACGGAGGUCUCAGUUUGAGGCCUACUACA